AGAGUUUGAUCCUGGCUCAGGAUAAACGCUGGCGGCGUGCAUGAGACAUGCAAGUCGAACGAGUGACUCGGGCUUGCCCGAGUCGCUAGUGGCGGACGGCUGAGUAACGCGUAGGUGACCUGCCCCGAUGUGGGGGAUAACUGCCCGAAAGGGUGGCUAAUACCGCAUAUGGUCGAUCGUUCAGUCGGUCGAUCAAAGCCGUAAGGCGCUUCGGGAGGGGCCUGCGUCCGAUUAGCUCGUUGGUGGGGUAACGGCUCACCAAGGCGACGAUCGGUAGGUGGUCUGAGAGGACGAUCACCCAGACUGGGACUGAGACACGGCCCAGACUCCUACGGGAGGCAGCAGUCGGGAAUUUUGCUCAAUGGGCGCAAGCCUGAAGCAGCAACGCCGCGUGAGGGAUGAAGGCCUUCGGGUUGUAAACCUCUUUUCUCAGGGACGAUGAUGACGGUACCUGAGGAAUAAGCCACGGCUAACUACGUGCCAGCAGCCGCGGUAAUACGUAGGUGGCAAGCGUUGUCCGGAUUUACUGGGCGUAAAGAGCGCGCAGGCGGUUGGAUAAGUCGAAUGUGAAAGCCCCCGGCUUAACUGGGGAGGGUCAUUCGAUACUGUCCAACUUGAAGGCAGGAGAGGGCAGCAGAAUUCCCGGUGUAGUGGUGAAAUGCGUAGAUAUCGGGAGGAAUACCAGCGGCGAAGGCGGCUGCCUGGCCUGUUCUUGACGCUGAGGCGCGAAAGCUGGGGGAGCAAACGGGAUUAGAUACCCCGGUAGUCCCAGCCGUAAACGAUGGACACUAGGUGUUGGUGGUAUCAACCCCGCCAGUGCCGUAGCUAACGCAUUAAGUGUCCCGCCUGGGGAGUACGGCCGCAAGGCUAAAACUCAAAGGAAUUGACGG
rnacentral:rRNA from 1 species